ACAGCCGAGGGAAAGGAGGGGUGGAGCAGCGACUCCACCAACUACAAAAGGACAAGAGGACCAAGGCCUGAGCAGCCCUGAAUCGCUCCCAUGAUGGCCCAAACAGGCACGGAGGAGGGUGAUUGGUCCCUGAGAAUGUGGAUGCCUGGAGCAGUUCACGGUACUGUCUCUGCCUCGUUCUGAGCCUGCACUGGGGCCUUGGGUCCCUGCAGAGCUGGUGGCCCACAGCUGGUAGCACUGUCCAGGUGCAGGUUUCAAUCAUCUUCCAGAACUGGGAUGACCAGGACAUUUGGGCGUGAAAGGGGCCCUACAAGCCUUAACAGAUACUAAAGAACGUCAGACAAGCAGAAUGAGGAUGGCCCCAGGCAAGGUGGACCCCACCCCAGCUGCAGGGAACAGCAAGGCUGCAGGUACCUGCUCAUUUCCAGCUCCCAGCCUCCCUCAGAACACAGACUGCCUUGCCAUUUUCUUAGCGAGCGGUUUGCAGCAAAGUGCUAUUUUGCUCUCGAACGCCUUCCUUUCCAAUUGGGACAAACGGCUAUGAAUACGGCACACCCUGUUUUGCAUUCAAACUGUUGGGAAAGUUUUGCGGCUGUAAAUAUCAUGCUCUUGGUGCUCAAGACAGAAUUAUUAUUACUUUUUCCUUAGUUCUUGGAACCAGUGAUAAAUUAAACAUUUCUUUUGCCCCCCCUUGCAGCCGGCA
ensembl:lncRNA novel transcript